ACUGGGUACAUCAAGUACGAAUUCUGGCAGCAAAAAAAAAGUGCUGGCAAUUUGACCAUUUGAACCGAGAUGCUUCAUCCUUGAUGCUUACAUAGACAAUUAGCAAUUAUGGCAUAUAAUUAAUAACAAGGUUAUGACGAAAAUAAGCAUCAGGACAUGCAUGCUCCCUCCUAACCAGCAAAUUAUUAUAUCUAUAUACACUCCCAGAGAGGAGGGGACGAGAUUCUAGCGUACUUGCUCCAGAUCUGUGUUGAAAAAAAGUUAUUUCACCUUCUGUAUCAACAACUCAACUCAGUGUCCCUCUCAGAGAAAAGAUCAUCUUUUCGCCGGGAAGGGAAAAAAAAGAUCAUCUUAGCCAAAUGAUCUGGAGAAGUGGCAACAUCUGCCAUUGCACCUCAAUCAUCACAUCCGGCAGGUAUCAAGAACCUUUCUUCGCAGUUUCUGCACAAAGCAUCAGAAAAACACCAUAUUCACAGAAGCACCAGGAUACAGUUAAGCGACAAAGAUCUACAAUCUGUAUCAGGUGUGACUUUCAGUAUGAACUAAUGGAAGGCAAUGCAUAUAGAGCCAAGAAAAUGGCCGCAAUAAUUUCCCUUUCUGCCCAACUAGUAGCAGUAAUGAUGUACCCAAGACAUGUGAGCUAUUACAAUUACAGUUCACAUGAUAGCUACUAUAGUUAUUUAGCAAUUUCUUACCCGUUUCUCCCUUGUCACUUUCUGAAACUUUGAUCAAAUACCAAGCAGUGCUGAGCACUCUAGAGCUGAGAGUUCAGUUCCUCAGCAUUGCCAUCAGAUGCUUCAGUCAUAUACAUCAUUCUUAGACUGCACACAUCAACACCAUCAGGGAGGUCAAACCAAGAUUCCAAUCAUACAACCCCCCCUGGAAACGUCAAGAAGAAAGUUACUUUCAGUAGCUGUUGCAGAGUUCAUCAUAUCUGAUGAGCUAGCUCCAUGUGAUAUUUCCCAUGGUACACAUAGCAAAGCUGAAAAUAUACUCAUGCACGAAUCAUCUCCCCUUGACUUGGAAUAUUCAAAUUUCCAUAAACCAAUGCAGUUCGAGUGUACAACUUCGAGAUCUUGAUUUUAGCUUAGUUGUCAGAUUCUAAGCCUCCAUGAUUGCGCGCAACACAGUUGCAUGCCUCGAUUAAUAAUGUAAUUGCACCAGAUCUUUUCUUGAAUAACUGAUCCCACCUAUUCAAAGUGUCCUGUGAGAAUUCAUCAGUGUGGACAGGGUUAUUAAAUAAUUACUUGGAGAAAAAUGG
rnacentral:lncRNA from 1 species